rnacentral:rRNA from 1 species
CCUACGGGUGGCAGCAGUGAGGAAUAUUGGUCAAUGGGCGCGAGCCUGAACCAGCCAAGUAGCGUGAAGGAUGACUGCCCUACGGGUUGUAAACUUCUUUUAUAAAGGAAUAAAGUGAGGCACGGUUGCCUUUUUUAAUGUACUUUAUGAAUAACGAUCGGCUAACUCCGUGCCAGCAGCCGCAGUAAUACGGAGGAUCCGAGCGUUAUCCUGAUUUAUUGGGUUUAAAGGGAGCGUAGAUGGGUUGUUAAGUCAGUUGUGAAAGUUUGCGGCUCAACAGUAAAAUUGCAAUUGAUACUGGUAGCCUUGAGUACAGUUGAGGUAGGCGGAAUGCGUGGUGUAGCGGUGAAAUGCUUAGAUAGCACGAAGAACUCCGAUUGCGAAGGCAGCUUACUAAACUGCCACUGACAUUGAUGCUCGAAAGUGUGGGUAUCAAACAGGAUUAGAUACCCGGGUAGUC